rfam:Triticum aestivum genome assembly, contig: Triticum_aestivum_CS42_TGACv1_scaffold_129307_2BL
UUUAUACUCCCUCCGUCCCAAAAUUCUUGUCUUAGACUUGUCUAGAUAUGGAUGUAUCUAAUACUAAAACUUGACUUGAUACAUUUGUAUUUAAACAAAUCUAAGACAAGAAUUUUGGGAUGGAGGGAGUACUCA